AACGAACGCUGGCGGCAGGCCUAACACAUGCAAGUCGAGCGCGCCUUCGGGUGUGCGGCGGACGGGUGAGUAACGCGUCGGAAUAUGCCCUUCUCUACGGCAUAGUCCUGGGAAACUGGGGGUAAUACCGUAUACGCCCUUUGGGGGGAAGAUUUAUCGGGGAAGGAUUAGCCCGCGUUGGAUUAGGUAGUUGGUGGGGUAAUGGCCUACCAAGCCGACGAUCCAUAGCUGGUUUGAGAGGAUGAUCAGCCACACUGGGACUGAGACACGGCCCAGACUCCUACGGGAGGCAGCAGUGGGGAAUCUUAGACAAUGGGGGCAAACCUGAUCUAGCCAUGCCGCGUGAGUGAUGAAGGGCUUAGUGUUGUAAAGCUCUUUCAGCUGGGAAGAUAAUGACGGUACCAGCAGAAGAAGCCCCGGCUAACUCCGUG
rnacentral:rRNA from 1 species